GCGGCAUGCUUGUAGAUUCUCCUCAAAAGUGGGGACCGCUGAAGAAAUCAGAAAAAAAAGAUGCUUUUUUUAUGUGCGCAAACAACGUUGGAUUGUAUCAUUAUAAAAAUCGUUGAUAUAAACAGUAUGAUGUAUAAUGAAAGAGGAUGUCCUGAUCCUGGCUUUUCCCGAUUGGGAAUAUCUUGAGUGGUACUGGGAAUCCGGAGCCCUGCUUUGAUGGAAAAUCCCAGUGAAGGGAAAGUACAACUUUAUUUUACCCCAAUGGCUUGCCUUGAAAAAAUACAUAGCAACUUUCCUUAGCUGGAGUGUUACUGGAUGGCGCCAGUCCAAGAUAAUGUCACAAGUUUACAGGUCUGUCCAAAAUGAUAAAAUUAGUUUAACAAAACAAAUACUAAAAAUCAGGUUACAAAAAUUAAUUAAUAUUAGAUGUGUAGCAACUCAGUCAGGAGUGGGAAAAGGCCCCAGCUUUACAAGACGAUCUAACCGCAAUGAUGAAGAUCAAGUUAAAAAUACACAGACACACGUCUUGAAGACAGGUGUUAUAGCCUCAGCAUGUACUAUGCAAACUCAGUGGUCAGAGCUGAGAAUCUCUUACCAUGUUUCACACGCAAGCAAAAUAUACCAACUGAUCUACACAACUGUGUUAUUUUACAAUUAUUCAUAUAUAAUUUUAAGGUUUUUAUUAAUGUUUUAAAAUUUUUAUAUUUGCACUUUUCAUUUUCAUUUUAGUUCAUCUGCUUUUUUUCCCUUUUUUUCUAAAUAUUACAAUUUAGGUUAAAUUGUUUUCUUAUUUUAGUUUCUCUUUUAGAUUUCUAAUUAGUAAUGUGAUUUAAUUCAAACUUGUUUCAGUUUUUAAUCUGUUUCAAAUUUUUAUUAAACUUUUGUUUUUCAUCUGAUACUUAGAUUUUAUUUCAACGUUUUUAACAGUUUUAGUUUUUGCUCACCCUGCUAGACACACAAUGCCAAUAUUAAACUGAUUAUAGGUGGACCUUAUUGUAUAGACUACUGUGAAUGGCACAGUUGAUGGGCAUGAGUGAACUUGCAAUGCAUGGUUCCUGCUACACUUUGACAAUUUUAGCAUAAAAUGAUGCAUUCUUUGCAGAACUUCUCUCGUGUUUUGAACCAGAUAUUGAUGAGCAUACAAAAAGCACACAUUAUGACUCAUGAAUCAUACAAAAAGUAAAUCAUAAUAAAAACACUGGGGCAGUGAUAUAUGCAAAUACUUUAUUUUAAGAAAUGUAAUUAAAUGUUAUAAAAGUUUUAGUCAAUAACAGUGUUAUACAUUUUAGAAAUAUAAAGCAUUUGACCUUUUCAUGCAUUCAAUGUUGCAAAACUGCAAAUGUUAAAGUAAAAGGGAAGCAAAAUAAGGAACAUGAUUUCUCAAAAUUUAGUAAAGCCACAAUAUUUUUAUUUGAGCAUGUCUUGUGAGAGCAUUAGAAUUACUGACUUUAUCUGUUGCUAUGUACACAAAUCUGACAAACCAGCAAACACUAUUGGUAUUACGCAAAAGAAGUAUUCACUCAAAAAAAAGGUAUUUCAAUAUUUUAUUUUAUUAUUUUUUCAACUUCAUAUCCUUCCAAGCCUAUAUGAAUUGGAAAGUGAAAGUUGAUGUGGACCCGGAACAGCUAUUGGCAUCCACUUUACUGUUGUGUUGAAAAGAUAUAUAUGUUCUGCUAUAUAAUUUAUGGAAGCUUUGAAGAACAGUUAAAAACACCCUCUCCUUUUCCACGGGGGUGGAAAAUCAUUAUGAUUCGAAACCUGAUGGUUGUGUAACAGCUUGAAAACAAAAAUAAACCGUUUCACAAGACUGGUCAAGCACAAUGUCGGUGGGUGUUCAUGUGUGUGUGUUUUACGGUACAUCUCAAAUGUUUCAUAUAACAUUUCAGUGAUUAUAAAUUAGAGUUAAAUCAAAGAAGACUUGAAGUAGGCAUGGUGACAGACUAAUGCACUCAAUAAUGGGAUAUAAAACUAAUAGAACAUAUCUGUUAUAUUUACGAAAAAAAAAAAACCUAAAUAUGUUUUAAUUAUGUUAUAGAUAGGCUAAACUGCCUCUAACCAUACAUAUAAAUCAUGUUAAAAUAUUGUUGUUUUUCUUUCAAUUUUCUUCAAUUACUGUGUCCCCAAAGUCAUUUUCCACCCUUUUAGUACAUAAUCUCUUGCCUUCCAAAACCGACUGCGAUUUCAUUGAGACGAUUUUAUAGAAAUUACAUAAUUUAUUUUUCCCACUGGAAUUCAUCUGUACAUACUGAGGUAAGCUUUUUUAAUUUUUGAAAUGUUACCCUGCUUGUCCCACCUUUAAAGUUCCACCCUGUUAGGCUAUAUUAUGGAGAAUGUUUGUCCCAUCAAUUUUUUUUUAAAACAAAUCUGACAUAGUCAUAAAAGUUCUGUUAAUCUGUAGAAGGUUAGCUAAAUGUUGAUCACUCAAUGAGCUAUGGCUAACUUAGCUCAACAUUUUCCACCCUGUUAGGUUUAUAAA